GACGAACGCUGGCGGCGUGCCUAAUACAUGCAAGUAGAACGCACAGUUUAUACCGUAGCUUGCUACACCAUAAACUGUGAGUUGCGAACGGGUGAGUAACGCGUAGGUAACCUGCCUGGUAGCGGGGGAUAGCUAUUGGAAACGAUAGCUAAUACCGCAUAAUAUUGAUUAUUGCAUGAUAAUUGAUUGAAAGAUGCUAUUGCAUCACUACCAGAUGGACCUGCGUUGUAUUAGCUAGUAGGUGAGGUAACGGCUCACCUAGGCGACGAUACAUAGCCGACCUGAGAGGGUGAUCGGCCACACUGGGACUGAGACACGGCCCAGACUCCUACGGGAGGCAGCAGUAGGGAAUCUUCGGCAAUGGACGAAAGUCUGACCGAGCAACGCCGCGUGAGUGAAGAAGGUUUUCGGAUCGCAAAGCUCUGUUGUAAGAGAAGAACGGGUGUGAGAGUGGAAAGUUCACACUGUGACGGUAUCUUACCAGAAAGGGACGGCUAACUACGUG
rnacentral:rRNA from 1 species